rnacentral:rRNA from 1 species
UACGGGGGGGCAAGCGUUGUUCGGAAUUACUGGGCGUAAAGGGCUCGUAGGUGGCCAACUAAGUCAGACGUGAAAUCCCUCGGCUUAACCGGGAACUGCGUCUGAUACUGGAUGGCUUGAGUUUGGGAGAGGGAUGCGGAAUUCCAGGUGUAGCGGUGAAAUGCGUAGAUAUCGGAAGGAACACCAGUGGCGAAAGCGGACUUCCUGGUCCAGCACCGACGUUCAGGCACGAAG